UGGAAGUAGCGAGUAACAGAAAAAGAGCAGAAAGCUAUAAGUAUAAGAGAGAGUUUAUGAACUAAUCUCGUUUUUUUGUUGUUCUGUCCUCCAGAACUUAAAAGAAGUGGAGGUUUAUAUAAUAAUAAAAAGCUUGACAUAUAAGGUAAGAGAUCAAUUAAGUAGUAAAUUAGGGAAGUCACACGUAAAUCAACAAUAUCUUCCCUUAAUCGAGGGAUAGCUCAAUAAAUGGUAGAACAUACUAGUAUUUAAGGAAAAGAAUAAAGUAAAGUUUAGGUAUAGAAUAGGUAAUUAGGGGUAAACGCACAUCAGCUUAAUUAAGGAAACAAAUCAGUAAUAAUCGGCGGAAUACAAACAAGGUAGGGAAAAGCAAUUAAGGUAAACAAUUCAGUCUGAUCGAAUAGAGAUGUAAGAAUGAAGAGUUAAAUGGAAAGGGUUCAAAUUAAACCAAGAAAUAAGGGAUUAAGAGUAAUCAAGGGUUCAUAAAGUCAUGAAAGAGGCAACAUGCUUAACAUAAAAGAUGAGGUAGAGCAUGAAUAGUUAGGAUUUCACACAGGUUUGACAAAGCCCAAAGUUAAAUGACACUGAUUCGAGGAGAAGUAUACAAGUCUUGCAUGAAUGGUCAGUAUGAACACAAGCACCUAACAUCAGUAAAAGGUCGAACUAGCAAAAUUUAGUAGAAGCAAAUUAGGACAAGAAAAUCAUGAGAAGUCACAAUAACCCAAGAUAAGAACACAAUCAGAUGUACCAAUAUCUAGAAACCAAACGAAGAACCCCAAAAUUAGGGUUUUCAGUACAAACAGGAUAGGGUUGUAGCAGGUUAUCAGUCAAAAUAUGUGAGAAGUAGGAGAUUAAACUCAAAAAAUCAUUAAAAAAAUUUUAAAAAGAAAUUUCGGAAACCAUAGUUUUAGGAAAAGAUGAAAAAUCACUUGAAAUCAUACGAUUCUUGUUAAGAAUCUCAAGGCUAUUAUAAAACUCGUAGGAAAUAAACUCACAUGACUUUAGAUCUGUAUAGAUCUAUGAAGAUUUGAAAAGAAAUUAGGGUUUUGAAGUGAACCAUUUAGAGAUGAAGAAAUAUACGAAAAACCCAUAGAUUAGCAAAUAUAGAACGAUCUCACUCGAAAUCAUGCCGGAAUGGCCUGCAACAGGUGAUACAUGAACCCUAGAUGCAAAUUGAUAUAGACCUGGUCCCUUGAGGUCCUUAGAGUUGGCAAGAGUGAUAUGAGCAAGGCCUGAGUGGUGGUGAUAAACCACCAGAUAUAGCCAUAG
rnacentral:lncRNA from 1 species